GACGAACGCUGGCGGCGUGCUUAACACAUGCAAGUCGAACGGAAAGGCCCUGCUUUUGUGGGGUGCUCGAGUGGCGAACGGGUGAGUAACACGUGAGUAACCUGCCCUUGACUUUGGGAUAACUUCAGGAAACUGGGGCUAAUACCGGAUAGGAGCUCCUGCUGCAUGGUGGGGGUUGGAAAGUUUCGGCGGUUGGGGAUGGACUCGCGGCUUAUCAGCUUGUUGGUGAGGUAGUGGCUUACCAAGGCUUUGACGGGUAGCCGGCCUGAGAGGGUGACCGGCCACAUUGGGACUGAGAUACGGCCCAGACUGCUACGGGAGGCAGCAGGGGGGAAUAUUGCACAAUGGGCGGAAGCCUGAUGCAGCAACGCCGCGUGCGGGAUGACGGCCUUCGGGUUGUAAACCGCUUUCGCCUGUGACGAAGCGUGAGUGACGGUAAUGGGUAAAGAAGCACCGGCUAACUACGUG
rnacentral:rRNA from 1 species